AGGUCUCAGAUGUCACCAGCACAAUAAAGCCACGCAGACCUCCCAGGGUGCAUCAUUACCAGACAGUGUUAGAACACCAGUGAUCAGCCCAGCACUGCCGGGAGAGAGGUGGGACACUGGGAUCAGCUGGCUAUCAAAGCAGCCUCCAGAGAGCUCAUGCAAUACAGCAAGAACAAAACAAGCUACUGCUACCACCCCUAUCACCACUCGACCCGCUCGUGCAGAGAGAGAGAGAGUACAUGUGUGAGUGUGAGUGUGUUCGUCCGUGGGGAGAUGUGACCUGAGGGAUUACUGAUCCAGUGGAGUUGUCAGGGUUAGCUCGCUCACAAACACUCCAUUGUCCCUUAGCAUGUUUCAUCACUUUCUCCACUAGACUGAAGUAUGGAAAAAUGUGAGAUUUGUGGGAAAAUUGAGAACAAGAUGUAAAUGUGUAUGUGAAACUGUUGCACUAUUGCUUCUUAAAGGCCUAAUACCAUGUAAUAACACAUAUAUAGUUUAAUAAAGUACAAGUAAAUCUUAAAAUACCGUUAUUUUCCGAUCCAA